AUGGGUUCAAGAACUAUAUUGCACAGGACUGAUGAGAGUAUAUAUCCUUGUCUUAUUCCUGAUUUUAGAGAAAAUGUCGUCUUCAUUAAGUAUAAUGUUGGCUUUAGGUUUGUCAUAUAUUUAUAAUGUUUGAGAUCAAUUUCUUCUAUCCCUAGUUUCUCCAAUGUUUUUUUUUUUUUUUUGAGAGAGAGAGAGAGAGAGAGAGGGAGAGAGAGAAUUUUUAAUAUUUAUUUUUUAGUUUUCAGUGGACACAACAUCCCUGUAUGUGGUGCUGAGGAUCAAACCCAGGCCGCACGCAUGCCAGGUGAGCGCGCUACCGCUUGAGCCACAUCCCCAGCCCCUCUCCAAUGUUUUUAACAUGGACGGGUGUUGGAUUUUAUCAAAGGUCUUUUCUGCAUCUGUUGAGAUGAUCAUAUGAUUCUUGUCCUUAACUCUAUUUAUAUGGUGAAUUACAUUAGUUGAUUUGCAUUUAUUGAACCAACCUUAUUUUGGAAAAUGUUGUAUAAGCUGCUGAGAAGGAAGUAAAUUCAGCAGCUUUGGGGUGUAAUAUUCUGUAAGUAUGUCUUAGAUCCAUUUGACUUAUAGUAUUAUUUAGGUCGGAAUAUCUUUAUUAAUUUAUGUUUGAAUGGCAUGUUUAUUGGUGAUAAGAGUGUGUUGAAACCACUCUGCAUUGUUGUAUUGGAGUUAACUGGGAUUUAAUGUCAAGAAGUAUUAUUUUAUGUAGUUAGGUACCCUGACAUUUGGGGGCGUAUAUAUUUACUAUCAUAUCUUCUUGUAGGAUUGUUCCCUUUCCCACUAUGUAGUGGCCUUCUUGUCUCUUCUGAUGAGCUUUUGCUUGAAAUCUGCUUUGUCAGAAAUAAUAGUAGCUACUCUUGCUUGUUUUUGGACUCCAUUUUCACAAUUUUUUACCCCCAUCCUUUUACUUUCAGCCUGUGGGAGUAUCUUUGCCUAUGAGUCUCUUGCAAAAGCAUAUAAUUGGAUAUCUUGCUUUUAAUCCAUUCUGCUAAUCUAUGUCUUUUAAUUGAGGAAUUGAGACCAUUUACAGUCAGUGUUGUUGUGCAGAGAUGUUUGUUGUUUCCUGCCAUUUCAGUUCAUUGGUUGUACUUACUUCUGUUUUGGUUUUCAUUUAUUUGGUUGCUGUCCCUAGUGAUCUUCAUCUUUCUGGGGGCUUUGGGAUUUGGGGGGGGGGUUCUGUAUGCAGCAUAUCUUCGAAUAUUGUAUGCUAUGCUGAUUUCGUGCUCAUGAAUUUUUUUAGUUUAUCCUGAUACGGAACAUUCUUGUUUCUCCACUGAUUUUGAAAGAGAGCUUUGCUGGAUAGAGCAAUCUUGGCUGAUAAAUGUUUUCUUUUGGAGCUUGGAAUAUCUCCUUGAUUUCAGGGUCUGAGUUAAGAAGUCAGAAUGGAGCCUUAUUGGCUUGACUCUAAAAGUGACCUGAUAUUUUUUCUUUUGCAGCUUUUAACACUUAUUUAUUUUCUAUAUUAGGUGUUUUUAUUAUGAGGUAUCUUGGAGUGAUUCUUUUUGAUCUUGUCUAUUUGCUAUUCUAUAUGCAUCCUGUAUGUGAUGGUCCAUCUCAUUUCUAAGGCGAGGAAAUUUUUCUGCUAUUGUCUCACUGAAGAGUUUCUUAAUGUCUUUAGCCUGUAUCUCCUGUUCUCUUCUGUCCAAGUGACUCUCAAGUUUGUUCUCUGAAUGCUGUCCCAGAGGUCUUGUAUAUUCUGAUCAUGGUUUUUUAAAUUUUAUUUAUUUAUUUUAUCACUUACUGAGUAUUCAAGUUUAUAUAUCUGUCUUUAAGGCCUAAAGUUCUAUUUUCUAUGCAAUCUAAAUUGUUGGUGAUGCUUUCAAGUGAAUUUCUAAUUGGAUUAAUUGUGUCUUUCUUUUCCAGGAGUUCUGACUGGUUUCUUUUUAAUAUGCCAAUUUAUUUAUUAAAAUGAUCUUUCAUCUUCUGUAUUUUCUCUCUUUAUUCAUUCCUUAGAUCUUCUUUUAGUUCAUCAAAUAUUAAUGAUCAGGUUUUUUUUUUUUCUUUGUGUGUGUGUGUAUAUGUGUGUGUUGUGUGUGUGAGGUGUGCUUGCACAGUGUGUGUUGCGUCGUGCCUUGGUGAGCAGAGCUGGUGGCCUGAGUGGCGGGACAGCCCCCAUGCUAAUCAAGAUGCCUACAGAGAGCAAAGCUUAGCUUCCCCAUCAAAGCUAACAGCGAGUCCCUUGGGGGCGGUUGGAGC
rnacentral:lncRNA from 1 species